GUUUCUGGUAUCUCUCUUGAACUCUGGUGUUUUUACAAGAGGCACACAAAAGAGAGACACAGAGAGAAGAUGAGAAGACUGAGGCAGACAUUGGAAUGACGCAACCAGGAGCCAAGGAAUGCCUGGAUCCAUGGGAAGCAGAAGAGGUAGGGUCCAGAUGCCCCCCUAGGGCCUUCAGAAGGAGCUUGGCCCUGCCACACUUUGAUUUUGAAUAUCUCACCUCCAGAAUUGCAAGAAAAUCAAUUUCUGUUGUUUUAAGCUACCAAAUUGUGAUAAUUUGUUACAGCACCCCUAAGAAACAAAUACAGAAAGUAUUGAAAUUGGAGAGUUCCCUGAUCUCCCUUGCAGGACAUGAGACAGGGGUGUGGCUAACCUGGUUGGUUGCUGCUGCUGCUCAAACCUCUGAGAAGAGGGAGAGCACAAAGAUGGGAAGGUACAGGAGCCGGGGUGAGGGCUUUGGGCUCCGGCCCCACAGUAGUGUCUAAGGGUGGAUGUCUGCUGCCCCAGUGUUAUAAUGCUGUUGUAGCUUUGCCAUCUGCAGAUUGCUCAAGUGUUAACCACCUUAAGGGACCUUCUUCCUUUUUGCAAGUGCAGUGGGUCAGUGUAACAGCUUUCUGUAUCCUGAGCUCUUUCCUAGCAUCCUGGAAGACACCCAGGGGCCUGAAGGAUGAAUGUGGAGGUUUUUAUUGAGUGGUGGAGGUGACUCUCAGUGGGAGGGAUGAAGAGCCGGAAGGGAGGAAAGAGUGGGAAGAUGAUCUUCCCCUGGAGCCUGGCCGUCCAGUGGCUGAACCCCUCUCCAGCUGCCCCCAGCUGAACUCCUCUUGGUGUUCAGAUGUUUCUCUUCCUCUCUUUCUCUGCCGCUUUGUUCCGUUCUGUUCGUCUGUUUUUCUCCUUGUCUUCUCACCUGCUCAUCUGCUUCUGCAGCCUGGGGUUUGGAGUUUAUAUGGGUACAGGAUAGGGGGGCGUGGUGGGCCAAAAGGCAACUUUUUGGGUGUGAAAACAGAAAUGCCUAUUUCCACGUAGGCCCGCGGGUCUCCAGGCUUGAGUGUAGGGCCUUUGCUAGGGAACCGCCCUCUUCUACCCAGUAUUUCCCUCUCCUGUCUUUAUCAGUGUCUCAAACUCCAACUUAUGCAUAAUAUUUUCAACUCCCUUUUUCAGUCGUUAUUUUU
rnacentral:lncRNA from 1 species